GAUCAGACAGCUUGUGCCCACAGGCCAAGGACGCGUGGGAAGAGACUCAAUCUUCUAGAUGGGUGGUAGCAGCCACGGCCUUCUGUCCUCUGGGUCCCCGCAAGCCUGGAUGAACUCAAGAUCUGACUCAGUGGCACAGUGAGGGGACCUUCGAGGCCUCCGUGACCAUCCUUGGACUUCACCUCUCAUGACUUUCAGGCAGAGAGGCCCUCCCACGCCCACAAUAGGCCGAGCCCAGCCUUCCUCGGAUUUGCCUCCAGGCCUGACGUUUACUUCCCUUUCUAAGUGGUUCCCACGCAACGCUUGUCCCUGUCCCUGAGAUUUCAGACCUUUCCACAGCGCAAAGCCUCCUGCCUUGAGACUACUGCAGUGAGCAAGGUGAACCCCAUCCCCAAGCUAUGGCAAGAAUGCUGGCCUCUUCCGUCGCUCCUAAGUUCCAGGCUGAACUCUUCCUUCAACUCAACAGAUCCAAAAUGAAACCGGCGUCUUUAGCUCACCCUCGUCCCCCGCUGCCCCUGCCAGGGUCUUGGCCACCCUGAUCCAGGCCCCCGGUCACACCUCCAGGCCUGGCAAUAAUAUUACCUGGACUCCUUGAAGACUGCAACCAGAUUAAUCAUCCCGGAGCUCUGCUUUGAUAAUAUCACUUUUAUAGACACAUAAAAAGAAGCAUCGAGGCAGCCAGUCAUGCUAAAUCUUAACCAUCUUUACAGAAUUUUUAGUGCAGCCCAUCAAAAUUGUCACCAGCCCUGAAGGUUCCACGUUUAUGGUGUCCAUGAUAACACCUCUAUGCUGGAGGCAGCAGCACUUGGAGAUGGUGCAGAGCUGGCACUGCAGGAGCUGUCCUCGCCAGGCCUGAUCUCACAGCCAGGCCUGCUUCUCCUGGUUCCGCACAGAGCCCAUGGUCACCUCCUGCGUCUCCCACCCCAGAGGCGUAAGUGAGCAGUCUCUGGGUACCACCGGCACUCCUCUGCGAGGUGACAGAUGACAGCUUUAAAGACGUUGGGCCGUUGGGCAUCACCUUUUCAGUGGCUGGGUGCGAGGGGCCUGCGAGUCCUUGGCAGGGGCUGGCGUGGGCAGGCUGGUCGGCUUCAGCAGCGGCUGUGGGCCAAACGGCUUGGGAGCAGUUGUGCUGAGCAGAGACUGGACCGGAGGGGAACAGGAAGUGGGACCAACAGUUUUGAUUGGGGGCUGCGUUAUAGGUGGUUGUUUUCUGUGAAAGCCCCAUUGAUGUCACAGUGACGUGUGGUAAUAACGAAAAAGACAACACUUGUAAAGACACAGAGGCAGUGAGGAAUAGAAACAAUUUGGUGAGCUUUGUGGAGCUGGACUCCCUGAGUUCAAAACCCAUCUUCAACACUGACUGGCUGUGUGACCGCCCGACCUCGUCUCCAUCUGCCCGGGAGGCCGUCCCUGACUGCCUCAGUGUGCUGUCGGCUCAGUGUCUCCUGGUCUCCCGGGACUGACCUGCUGGGCCGUGUACUCGGGGUUCUGUGCAUGGCUUCUGGGGCUGUGUGUACAGUGACGAGCACAGCACGUGUUUCCCCAACUAGUUUGUAAUCUCUGAGCGCACAGACUUGAUUUAAAUUUCUUCCGGACCCUGCGGUGCUCUGGGAACGCUGUCUAAUUGUUGUGAUUUUACUCCUGUGGCCUGUGCUAGCUGCCCGGUUGGCAGUUGGGACUGAAGGAUGCUCAUCCACUUGCCUGACCACAAGGCUGGCACCAGCCCUGCCUUUGUUCUCCCACGAGUCCCCUUGAAGGUGACCCAUUCGUGGUGGGAGGUGUAGAGUCCAGCAGGGCUCUUGCACCUUUUGCCCUCCUGAGUCCUGGAGGAAGAGCUCGUUUCCUCAUCCGUACAGAGGGAAAAACAAAUGAGCAGUUACCUUGGGCAGAGUCCACAGUCCAGCCUGCUUGGCUGCCGGGGGGGAGGUGCCAACUGCAGAAGGCAUGGGUCCUUCCAGGUGUGGACUCGGCCCCUGGGCACUGCGAUCUGUGGCCUCCUUACCGAUGGUGAGGAGUGGAGAAGAGUCUCUCUGCUGUGCAUGGCAGCCUCAGCCCACAGGAUGCUGGCAUUUCCGUGCUAUUAAAUAAUUAACUUGGUACUACGUGGAGUAAAACACACAUUG
rnacentral:lncRNA from 1 species